rnacentral:rRNA from 1 species
GAUGAACGCUGGCGGCGCGCCUAACACAUGCAAGUCGAACGGCACCCCUCCUCGGAGGGAAGCGAGUGGCGAACGGCUGAGUAACACGUGGAGAACCUGCCCCCUCCCCCGGGAUAGCCGCCCGAAAGGACGGGUAAUACCGGAUACCCCGGGGUGCCGCAUGGCACCCCGGCUAAAGCCCCGACGGGAGGGGAUGGCUCCGCGGCCCAUCAGGUAGACGGCGGGGUGACGGCCCACCGUGCCGACAACGGGUAGCCGGGUUGAGAGACCGACCGGCCAGAUUGGGACUGAGACACGGCCCAGACUCCUACGGGAGGCAGCAGUGGGGAAUCUUGCGCAAUGGGGGGAACCCUGACGCAGCGACGCCGCGUGCGGGACGGAGGCCUUCGGGUCGUAAACCGCUUUCAGCAGGGAAGAGUCUAGACUGUACCUGCAGAAGAAGCCCCGGCUAACUACGUG